UACGAAGGGGGCUAGCGUUGCUCGGAAUUACUGGGCGUAAAGCGCACGUAGGCGGCUUUGUAAGUUAGAGGUGAAAGCCCGGGGCUCAACCCCGGAAUUGCCUUUAAGACUGCAUCGCUUGAAUCCAGGAGAGGUGAGUGGAAUUCCGAGUGUAGAGGUGAAAUUCGUAGAUAUUCGGAAGAACACCAGUGGCGAAGGCGGCUCACUGGACUGGUAUUGACGCUGAGGUGCGAAAGCG
rnacentral:rRNA from 1 species